rnacentral:misc_RNA from 1 species
UGUGGGAGCGAGCCUGCUCGCGAAAGCGGUAGAUCCGUCGGAAUCCACGUUGACUGACACGCCGCCAUCGCGAGCAGGCUCGCUCCCACA